rnacentral:rRNA from 1 species
CCUACGGGCGGCAGCAGUGAGGAAUAUUUGUCAAUGGACGAGAGUCUGAACCAGCCAAGUAGCGUGAAGGAUGACUGCCCUAUGGGUUGUAAACUUCUUUUAUAUGGGAAUAAAAUGUUCCACGUGUGGGAUUUUGUAUGUACCAUAUGAAUAAGGAUCGGCUAACUCCGUGCCAGCAGCCGCGGUAAUACGGAGGAUCCGAGCGUUAUCCGGAUUUAUUGGGUUUAAAGGGAGCGUAGGUGGAUUGUUAAGUCAGUUGUGAAAGUUUGCGGCUCAACCGUAAAAUUGCAGUUGAAACUGGCAGUCUUGAGUACAGUAGAGGUGGGCGGAAUUCGUGGUGUAGCGGUGAAAUGCUUAGAUAUCACGAAGAACUCCGAUUGCGAAGGCAGUUCACUGGACUGCAACUGACACUGAGGCUCGAAAGUGUGGGUAUCAAACAGGAUUAGAUACCCGAGUAGUC